UACGAAGGGGGCUAGCGUUGCUCGGAAUCACUGGGCGUAAAGCGCACGUAGGCGGGUUGUUAAGUCCGCUGUGAAAGCCCGGUGCUCAACGCCGGAGGGUCGGUGGAUACUGGCAGUCUUGAAGUGGCUAGGGGGAAAUGGAAUUACCGGUGUAGCGGUGAAAUGCGUAGAUAUCGGUAGGAACACCAGUGGCGAAGGCGGUUUCCUGGAGCUAACUUGACGCUGAGACGCGAAAGCUGGGGGAGCAAACGGGG
rnacentral:rRNA from 1 species